rnacentral:rRNA from 1 species
GACGAACGCUGGCGGCGUGCUUAACACAUGCAAGUCGAGCGGUAAGGCCCUUCGGGGUACACGAGCGGCGAACGGGUGAGUAACACGUGGGUGAUCUGCCUCGCACUUCGGGAUAAGCCUGGGAAACUGGGUCUAAUACCGGAUAUGACUCCUGGUUGCAUGGCUGGGGGUGGAAAGAUUUAUCGGUGUGAGAUGGGCCCGCGGCCUAUCAGCUUGUUGGUGGGGUAAUGGCCUACCAAGGCGACGACGGGUAGCCGGCCUGAGAGGGCGACCGGCCACACUGGGACUGAGACACGGCCCAGACUCCUACGGGAGGCAGCAGUGGGGAAUAUUGCACAAUGGGCGAAAGCCUGAUGCAGCGACGCCGCGUGAGGGAUGACGGCCUUCGGGUUGUAAACCUCUUUCGACAGGGACGAAGCGCAAGUGACGGUACCUGUAGAAGAAGCACCGGCCAACUACGUG